rnacentral:rRNA from 1 species
GACGAACGCUGGCGGCGUGCUUAACACAUGCAAGUCGAACGGAAAGGCCCUGCUUUUGUGGGGUUCUCGAGUGGCGAACGGGUGAGUAACACGUGAGUAACCUGCCCUUGACUUUGGGAUAACUUCAGGAAACUGGGGCUAAUACCGGAUAGGAGCUCCUGCUGCAUGGUGGGGGUUGGAACGUUUCGGCGGUUGGGGAUGGACUCGCGGCUUAUCAGCUUGUUGGUGGGGUAGUGGCUUACCAAGGCUUAGACGGGUAGCCGGCCUGAGAGGGUGACCGGCCACAUUGGGACUGAGAUACGGCCCAGACUCCUACGGGAGGCAGCAGUGGGGAAUAUUGCACAAUGGGCGGAAGCCUGAUGCAGCAACGCCGCGUGCGGGAUGACGGCCUUCGGGUUGUAAACCGCUUUCGCCUGUGACGAAGCGUGAGUGACGGUAAUGGGUAAAGAAGCACCGGCUAACUACGUG